rnacentral:lncRNA from 1 species
CCUCCCAACAGGUAUAGCGGGGCGGGGGACGUUCUUGUAGUCGCCAGAUCCGAACCUCGUGGGGACCCGGUUCACAUACAUUGUGUGGCCUAGAUUUAGUAAAAUCAGGUAAAAUUUCUCUAAUUAAGUGACCUGAUGUCCAAUUAAUCCCGCUAAUCAGGUGACUUGACAUUGAUUUUUCCCAAUAUAUAUAUUUAUCCUCAGGCAAACCUUUAUUUUUAUUCUUGUCACUGUUGUGUUAAUGAUAAUUGAUUUUUAGUUUAAAGUUGUUUACUCGGGUACGGGGAACACGUGGGUAUGUUGCACCCAAUGAGUGGUGGGGGUGAAACAAAUUGGUCCCUGAGAUGGGGAAUGGGGAUGGGAACCGGAUGACUUUUACUGCGCGUGGAUGGAAAGAGAUAUCAAUCCCUAAGCCGGGGCAGACCCAUUCCCACCCCUAGGCUCAACCAUGUUAUUUUUCUUUCACCCCAGGAUUUCUUCAUAUUUGGGCCCAACCCAAUUUUUUUUUUCAUUUUUCUCUAAUCUGGUCCAGCCCAACCUUUUUUCGUCCUCUUUUCACUGAUUUGGCUCAUGUGCUGAGUCGGGCUUUGUUGGGGCCGGGCCAGCCCGACAGGGCUUUGUGCUGCACUUGAGCCGGGAAGUUGCAUUUAUUC